UGUUUGCACUUAGCGGGAAGGAUGAGAAGCUUCGACUAAGGUUCGACUCGAGCGUAGCGAGAGAACGCUGCCUGUGCCGACCGGCAGCCCGGACUGGUGCGCCGCGCCGCCUCCGGGAAACUCA
rnacentral:sRNA from 1 species